UACGGAGGGGGCUAGCGUUGCUCGGAAUCACUGGGCGUAAAGGGUGCGUAGGCGGUCGGGUAAGUCUGAUGUGAAAUCUCACAGCUUAACUGUGAAACUGCAUUGGAUACUAUCCGGCUAGAGGAAUGGAGGGGAGACUGGAAUACUUGGUGUAGCAGUGAAAUGCGUAGAUAUCAAGUGGAACACCAGUGGCGAAGGCGAGUCUCUGGACAUUUCCUGACGCUGAGGCACGAAAGCCAGGGGAGCAAACGGG
rnacentral:rRNA from 1 species